AUGCUUAAAAUUGAUCUUGCUAAAGCUUUCAAUCAUUUGGAAUGGGACUUCAUUGUUUCUGCUCUGGCAUGUAAAGGGUUGCAUGAUCAUUUCAUAAAUUUGAUCUACGUGUGUAUUUCUUCUCCUACUUUAUCUAUGGUCAUUAAUGGUCAACCUUCGCACAAAUUUAGAAUUUCUAGAGGUAUUCAUCAAGGUUGUCCUAUGUCCCCUUAUUUGUUUGUGAUUGCCAUUAAUGAGUUGUCUCUUUCUCUCAGUGAGGCUCUUGCUACUAACAAUUUGCAGGGAAUUUCACUUGGACCAAAUCCCCCUAUUCACUCUCUGUUGUUUGCAGAUGACCUGCGUGUUUGUGGGCAAGCUAGUGAUGUCUACUACACAACCUUCUUCUUGUAG
rnacentral:rRNA from 1 species